rnacentral:rRNA from 1 species
AUUGAACGCUGGCGGCAGGCCUAACACAUGCAAGUCGAACGGUAGCACAGAGAGCUUGCUCUCGGGUGACGAGUGGCGGACGGGUGAGUAACGUCUGGGAAACUGCCCGAUGGAGGGGGAUAACUACUGGAAACGGUAGCUAAUACCGCAUAACGUCGCAAGACCAAAGUGGGGGACCUUCGGGCCUCACACCAUCGGAUGUGCCCAGAUGGGAUUAGCUAGUAGGUGGGGUAAUGGCUCACCUAGGCGACGAUCCCUAGCUGGUCUGAGAGGAUGACCAGCCACACGGGAACUGAGACACGGGCCAGACUCCUACGGGAGGCAGCAGUGGGGAAUAUUGCACAAUGGGCGCAAGCCUGAUGCAGCCAUGCCGCGUGUAUGAAGAAGCCCUUCGGGUUGUAAAGUACUUUCAGCGGGGAGGAAGGCGGUGAAGUUAAUAGCUUCACCGAUUGACGUUACCCGCAGAAGAAGCACCGGCUAACUCCGUGCCAGCCGCCGCAGUAA